UACGUAAGGGGCUAGCGUUGUCCGGAAUCAUUGGGCGUAAAGAGCGUGUAGGCGGCCCGGUAAGUCCGCUGUAAAAGUCAAAGGCUCAACCUUUGAAUGUCAGUGGAUACUGCCGGGCUAGAGUCCGGAAGAGGCGAGUGGAAUUCCUGGUGUAGCGGUGGAAUGCGCAGAUAUCAGGAGGAACACCAAUAGCGAAGGCAGCUCGCUGGGACGGUACUGACGCUGAGGCGCGAAAGCGUGGGGAGCGAACAGG
rnacentral:rRNA from 1 species